GCCUCCCGCCCGGGGUGACAGGCCGAGCCGGCCUUCUGUCGGUCUCUAGUAGUUUCCGUGGCGCUGACGCAUGCUUGCUCGCCCAGCUGGGCCGGGCGCGUUCUACGCAGCUGCUGCGAGCCGGGCUGCGGGUGCCAGACGGUUCCCGGCGGGCACAGGGGCGGGGCGCUGCAGGAGGCCAGGGACUGCGGGCGGAGGAGCUCCGAGGAAGCCCGCCUGACGACUGACGAGUUGCCAUGGCAUCCUACUACGAGAUCCUGGAUGUGCCGCGAAGUGCGUCUCCUGAUGACAUCAAGAAGGCGUAUCGGCGGAAGGCUCUCCAGUGGCACCCAGACAAGAACCCGGAUAAUAAAGAGUUUGCCGAGAGGAAGUUUAAGGAGGUGGCCGAGGCAUAUGAAGUACUGUCUGACAAGCAUAAGCGGGAGAUCUAUGACCGCUAUGGCCGGGAAGGGCUGACUGGGGCAGGAACUGGCCCCUCUCGGGCGGAAGCUGGCAGUGGUGGGCCUGGCUUCACCUUCACCUUCCGCAGCCCUGAGGAGGUCUUCCGGGAGUUCUUCGGGAGUGGAGACCCUUUUGCGGAGCUCUUUGAUGACCUGGGUGCCUUCUCAGAGAUUCAGAGCCGGGGUUCUCGACAGUCAGGCCCCUUCUUUUCCUUCUCUUCCUCCUUCCCUGGACACUCUGAUUUCUCCUCCUCAUCUUUCUCCUUCAGUCCUGGGGCUGGUGCUUUUCGCUCCGUUUCAACAUCCACCACCUUUGUCCAAGGACACCGCAUCACAACCCGCAGAAUCAUGGAGAAUGGGCAGGAACGGGUGGAAGUGGAGGAGGACGGGCAGCUGAAGUCAAUCACAAUCAAUGGUGUCCCAGAUGACCUGGCGCUGGGCUUGGAGCUGAGCCGCCGUGAGCAGUUGGUCACCUCCAGGCCUGGGGGCACACAGGUCCGGCAGGCCCCUGUCACACACCCCUCGGACAGCGACCUCUCUGAGGAUGAUGAGGACCUGCAGCUUGCUAUGGCCUACAGCCUGUCAGAGAUGGAGGCAGCUGGGAAGAAACCGGCAGGUGGGCGGGGGGUGCAGCAACGACAGCGGGGGCAGCCCAAGGCCCAGGACAAAGAUCAGGGCAUGGGGGGGAUCCAUGAGUGUGCAAAGGGUGAGGCAGCCAGGCCCAGCCCCUCCCCAGAGGAGAAGUCCUCUCGCUGCCUCAUCCUCUGAACCCCAGGCCCGACCCAAUCUGCUUCAGUUGUGACUGGGGGUCUGUCAGGAAAGCAGAGAGGGGCAUGGCGUGAGGUUGCAGAAGCCCCUCUCCAAUUCCUUGCUCCCUUCACAAGUUACCCUUCUGGGCUCCACUCCCUCUAAGCGUGGACUUGGGAUUUGCUGUGCUCAGUCCAGGACUAAUAGAUCCUUGGGGGAAGCCCAGGGAGGGGGCCUCAGGGCAGGGAAAGGGCCCCAAGAAGCCAGCAUGCGCUUAUGGGAUGGGGGGUUUCAGAAGGGUGUUAGGGGUUUGGGUUGGGGCUUUUGUGCCCAGGUCCCAUGCUACCUAUGUUGCUGACAGAUGUCAAGGAAGGAGGAUUUGGCCUCGGGUUCUCUGAGCCCGAGUUGGCAGCCAUGCUGAGGAGCAGUGCAGGCUGAGUGGAGUCUCCCGCUCUCCUUGUCCAGCUGCACUCCCCCCUGCCCUGGUUUCUGUGCAGCAUUGAUCUCUGACUGUCUCUGUGCUUCCCUGCUGCGGCUGCGGCUCCUCCUUCCUCUCACUCUUCUUUCUCCAACUCCCUGCGGGCCGUGUCACUUGCUUUCACUGCCAUCUGCCUAGGACUCCCUUCUCCUCCUUUUCCUCUGCUGCCAAGGCCUCAGUGUGGCGAGGAAGAUGCAGGGCCGGUAGGGCCUUGAGGUCUUCAGGGGAGGCUAGCUGGGUGGGGCGGGAGCCUCUCAGCCCUCCAGAUUCGGAACCGGAGUCCACUCCUCCUCCCUUCCUCUUGCUGCCUCAACUUGCCCCCGGCCUCAGGACUAGGCAGAGAUGUGUUCUGAGUUGGAAGUCCGGGACCCAGAGUCGCUGCACAGUUCCAGCGGGACAGCGCCCACCCCGUGCUCUGGGAGGGGACCCUCUUCCUCUCCCUCACCUGUACCAAGUGUAGAGCUGGGGUCUGGGUGGUGGGUGGGGGCCAGGUGGGAGGCAGUGGUUAGUAGUCUUAGCCUGCAAACUCUUCCCUGGGUGUUUGGUAGUCUCCUGAGGACUACAAGUUCCAGAAUGCAACACACCCUGCUUCACUUCUGAUAGCGCAUGCUUGGGGGAAGUGGUGUGUGGUUAUGGAGCUGUGCAUCUUGGGACUAGUAGUUCCAGCCCGGGUCAGCAGUCACUUGCUGUGAGAUGGAGAGAUUUUGUCAUUUGAUUUGUCCCUGGCGAGGGUGGCAAGAAUGUGGAUGAAGGGGUAAUGGUCCAAGCCUCUGUUCCCUGACACCUCUUGCUAGCCUGGGGUUGGAGUGUACGAAUCAAAGCCCUGAGGCACCUGGGAGGGGCUGUGGGCCCAGCUAGGGUCUGAGUAGCUGGCCAGGGCAAGAAGGCCCUUCUGCUAUGCAGGGCGUGGCCCUCAAAGGCUGGCAGAGCAUAGGGAAGGGAAGGCCACCCUCAUGGGGGUGUGUUUGUGACAGGAGCUCCGAGCAUGUUGCUGCUUGUAUGGCUUACUUUGGCCUCUGACCCUUCUCCCAUUCUUUCUCUCCAACAUCACAACAUCGCAGACAAGAGCCGCCUCUCCUCCUCCCUGCCUGGGGAGCCUAGUGGCCAGGGAGGGGAGUGGUGGAGCGGGGGUGCCAGGCCCUGUAACAGCCUCAGAGACCAAUCAAAGCCAGCUGGGCUAAGCUCAGACCAAGAGGGAGACACUGGAAAUCAAUAAAGCUGAGUUCUGAGAGCA